rnacentral:rRNA from 1 species
CACAAGCGGUGGAUGAUGUGGUUUAAUUCGAUGCAACGCGAAAACCUUACCCACCUUUGACAUGUACGGAAGUUGCCAGAGAUGGCUUCGUGCUCGAAAGAGAGCCGUAACACAGGUGCUGCAUGGCUGUCGUCAGCUCGUGUCGUGAGAUGUUGGGUUAAGUCCCGCAACGAGCGCAACCCUUGUCAUUAGUUGCUACGAAAGGGCACUCUAAUGAGACUGCCGGUGACAAACCGGAGGAAGGUGGGGAUGACGUCAAGUCCUCAUGGCCCUUAUAGGUGGGGCUACACACGUCAUACAAUGGCUGGUACAAAGGGUUGCCAACCCGCGAGGGGGAGCCAAUCCCAUAAAGCCAGUCGUAGUCCGGAUCGCAGUCUGCAACUCGACUGCGUGAAGUCGGAAUCGCUAGUAAUCGUGGACCAGCAUGUCACGGUGAAUACGUUCCCGGGUCUU